UGCCCAGCUGUCAAAACAGGGGGUGUCUUUUUCAUUCCAGCUCACAAAGUACCAAAGGGGAAAGGGGCUUUAAUGCCUGUGUUUGGACACAAGCAAUUAUCCCUAAUUAUUGUUUUUCUUUUGAGCCUGCCCGUCCUGCUGGAGAGCCAGCAGAUGAGCAUGCCCUAAUCCUCGCCAGUCGGUUGAUCUCAGUGGGUUUUGCAGGACAAACCGGGCGAGAAGGCUUCGUGGCUUUCAUCUCGAUGGUUGCAUAGCAAUCCAAGGACCCAGACUUCAAUGUUCUUUCUUCAGUAAUUCACCCUUACUGAAAGAGAAAAGAAAAGAGAAAAGAAGAGAAGAGAAGAGGAAAGGAAAGGAGAAGAGAAAAGAGAAGAGAUGAGAAGAGAAAGGAAGGAGGUCUCACAGAAGAGUGACAGGCUAUGUGAAUCCAGCCGUGGAUGUGUGUUCAUGUGCAUAAGAAAAGACAGUAUGCCUUUCUCUCCCCCAGCAUGACAGCUUCAAAAUACACCCGUACACUUUUUCCGUGCAAUCUGUGAGAGCGGAAUGGAGUGCCUUGCUUGGGUACACACCAGCUAGCGCUGACUAAGUGGUCGACUGGACACCUGAAUGAGAGCAGGAGAGAAGUCACACCAAUGGGAGGAGAAUUAGGAGGAGUUUACCAGAAGUAUCUAUCUGUACCUGUGUGCUCCCUGUCAGCACUCACCUGUGACGUAACAGAUUAUUCUCAAAACCUCUCUCACCCUGAUUUGGAGUGGGGACUUGAACUCAGCUCUUCCAUAUCCCAGGAGAGGAAAUCUACAGCCAAUCUGUUGGAUAAUUGCACUCUCUCUCCUGUAGAAGCUGUUCUGUUUUGUAUGAAUAAUUAACUACUCAUUACAGUAGUGGUUUGGACCUGACUUGCCCACAUCCCAGAUGAGCACACUAAUCAGCAGGCUGGAGAAUCACUCUCUCACACUUCCCGUUCUCCUGUCUGGCUCAGCAAACAUUUAAUUAUUUAUACAAAGGGUUUAAUAUUGCUUAAAGAGAAUUUGAUAACUGUUUUUCUCUGUCCUCAGGUAAGUUCUUGCUCUCAGGAACACUGGGCUAAGUAUGAUUGUGCGUGAGCAGGGCACAGGGAAAGGCCUUCUUCUACACUUCAUAGCAAUGAGGCCUAGCUUGCCUACUUCCAAAAGGAGGGUCACAGCUGAGAACCUCAGCGAGGCAUGGCUGGGAUUCAUGCACCUGAAUGCCUAAGGCAUUGCUGUCCUUAGCAUUUCACACCUAAGGGAAGGGAAGUCCCCUCUUUUCUCUUCUAGAGAACCUAACUCUUCCCCUGGUUGGUAGCAGAAGCAGGAAUAUCCCUGCUUUGGGAACGAGGAUCCCAAAGGGAGCCUAAGCCCCAAUGUCUGAUCUGCGUUCUUUCAUCAUCUUACCCCUUGUUCCUCUGACUCCGUGAAUUCAUCGCAGCAGCUCCAAGAAAUUAUAAGUGAGACUUUGGACUCACUUAGGUGUAGUACCUGAUAUGAACUUGAAUUCUUCAGCUGAAUCACAGCG